UACGGAGGGGGCUAGCGUUGUUCGGAAUUACUGGGCGUAAAGCGCACGUAGGCGGAUUGUUAAGUCGGGGGUGAAAUCCCGGGGCUCAACCACGGAACUGCCUUCGAUACUGGCGAUCUUGAGGUCGGGAGAGGUGAGUGGCAUGGCGAGUGUAGAGGUGAAAUUCGUAGAUAUUCGCCGGAACACCAGUGGCGAAGGCGGAUCACGGGCCCGAUACUGACGAUGAGGUGCGUAAGCGUGGGGAGCAAACAGG
rnacentral:rRNA from 1 species